UGGGGAUAUUGGACAAUGGGGGCAACCCUGAUCCAGCAAUGCCGCGUGUGUGAAGAAGGCCUUCGGGUUGUAAAGCACUUUCGGUGGGGACAAACAAGGCGGAGCUAACAUCUCCGUCCCUGAUGGUACCCAAAGAAGAAGCACCGGCUAACUCUGUGCCAGCAGCCGCGGUAAUACAGAGGGUGCAAGCGUUAAUCGGAAUUACUGGGCGUAAAGCGUGCGUAGGUGGUUUGUUAAGUCAGGUGUGAAAUCCCGGGGCUCAACCUCGAAAUGGCGCUUGAUACUGGCAGACUCGAGUGUGGUAGAGGAUAGUGGAAUUCCCGGUGUAGCGGUGAAAUGCGUAGAUAUCGGGAGGAACAUCAGUGGCGAAGGCGGCUAUCUGGACCAACACUGACACUGAGGUACGAAAGCGUGGGUAGCAAACAGGAUUAGAUACCCUGGUAGUCCACGCCCUAAACGAUGGGUACUAGACGUCGGGAAGCUUGUCUUCUUGGUGUCGCAGCUAACGCAAUAAGUACCCCGCCUGGGGAGUACGGUCGCAAGAUUA
rnacentral:rRNA from 1 species